AUUGAACGCUGGCGGCAUGCUUUACUCAUGCAAGUCGAACGGCAGCGCGGGCUUCGGCCUGGCGGCGAGUGGCGAACGGGUGAGUAAUGCAUCGGAACGUGCCCAGUAGUGGGGGAUAGCCCGGCGAAAGCCGGAUUAAUACCGCAUACGACCUGAGGGUGAAAGCGGGGGACCGAAAGGCCUCGCGCUAUUGGAGCGGCCGAUGUCGGAUUAGCUAGUUGGUGGGGUAAAGGCUUACCAAGGCGACGAUCCGUAGCUGGUCUGAGAGGACGACCAGCCACACUGGGACUGAGACACGGCCCAGACUCCUACGGGAGGCAGCAGUGGGGAAUUUUGGACAAUGGGGGCAACCCUGAUCCAGCCAUGCCGCGUGCGGGAAGAAGGCCUUCGGGUUGUAAACCGCUUUUGUUCGGGAAGAAAUCCUCUGGGCUAAUACCCCGGGGGGAUGACGGUACCGGAAGAAUAAGCACCGGCUAACUACGUG
rnacentral:rRNA from 1 species